UACGUAGGGUGCGAGCGUUGUCCGGAAUUAUUGGGCGUAAAGAGCUUGUAGGCGGUCUGUCGCGUCUGCUGUGAAAACCCGAGGCUCAACCUCGGGCCUGCAGUGGGUACGGGCAGACUAGAGUGCGGUAGGGGAGAUUGGAAUUCCUGGUGUAGCGGUGGAAUGCGCAGAUAUCAGGAGGAACACCGAUGGCGAAGGCAGAUCUCUGGGCCGUAACUGACGCUGAGGAGCGAAAGCGUGGGGAGCGAACAGG
rnacentral:rRNA from 1 species